AGCAGUAGCCGCGGUAAUACGUAGGGUGCAAGCGUUAAUCGGAAUUACUGGGCGUAAAGCGUGCGCAGGCGGUUCGUUAAGACAGAUGUGAAAUCCCCGGGCUUAACCUGGGAACUGCAUUUGCGACUGGCGGGCUAGAGUAUGGCAGAGGGGGGUAGAAUUCCACGUGUAGCGGUGAAAUGCGUAGAGAUGUGGAGGAAUACCGAUGGCGAAGGCAGCCCCCUGGGCCAAUACUGACGCUCAUGCACGAAAGCGUGGGGAGCAAACAGGAUUAGAUACCCGUGUAGUCCCUGUCUCUUAUAC
rnacentral:rRNA from 1 species